UUUAGCUAUGUAGGAAAAAUACGUUCCUUUGCUUGUUUUUUCACCUUUCUCUUCAUUUUUUUUUUCUUGAUCUGUAUUUACUGAUUGUAUGGGAGCUGUUGAAUCAUGGCCUGAAUCACUGAUUGAUCACUUGAGGCAAGCACUGAGUCAGCUGUGGGAGCACAGGUGAAGGAGGGAAAAUAUCUGAUCCCUAAAUAUGCCUGGUGCACAGAUGAAUCCAGCAAGGGCAACGCAAGCAAGUGGAGAGCGAUAGCAUACCAUCCCUCCACCAAGACAAUCUGGUUUGAUGAGGGGGGAUGGUCAGAGCAGCCAAUGGGCAGAACUGUGAGCUGUGUGGAUGAUUAUGACCAAGGAACUCGGUGAUGGUAUCCUGAACAUCUGCACAGAUAGUUGGGCUGUGUACUGGGGACUCACUCUUUGGAUUGCACAGUGGGCCAUCCAGGAAUGGACUAUCAGCACCUUACAAAUCAGGUGCAAAGAUAUGUGGUUAGACAUAUGGAAUAAGUUAAACAAAGAACUGUACGUGUCUACCAUGUUUCUGGUCACCAAUCCCUACAGUCACUGGGAAAUGAUGAAGCUGACACACUGGCCUGAGUUUGAUGGAUUGAGAAUUCACCAUCUGAGAACAUCGCCUGUGGUUACAUCAGAAGCUUUGGCAUGCUGGACAAAAGACAAUAUGGGCAGCUGCUAAAGCAUGGGGGCUGCCCAUACAACUAUUUUACAUUGCCCAGGUAUGCUGAGACUGUGAUGCUUGCUUCAAGAUAAGACUGAGAUCAUUGCCCAGAGCAACAGCCCAUCUUGCUAGAGGAUGCAACCCUCUCCAGAGAUGGCAGGUUGAUUACAUUGGGCCCCUCCCUUGGUCUGAGGGGGUGAGAUAUUCCCUGACCUGCAAAUGGGCUAAUGCAGGCCUAUCCAGUACCAAAAGCAAACCAGGCGUAUACCAUCAAGGCACUUACUAAACUGAUGUCUGCCUACAGGACACCUCAAGUCAUUGAGAGUGACCGAGGGACCCAUUUUACUGGUGCAGUGAUACAAUGCUGGGCAGAAGAAAACACUGAAUGGUGAUUCCACCUGCCAUAUAAUCCAAUGGGGACAGGUCUCAUUGAACAUUAUAAUGGUAUUCUUAAGGCUGCUGUAAAGACAGACUCUCAGUCCCUGCGGAUAAAGAGUUUAUCCUGGUGGAUAAAGAGACUCUAUGAAACCCUGUGGGACUUGAAUGAAAGUCCUAGAGAUGGCAGACCCAGUGCUCAGAAAAUGCUACAGACAUGGGC
ensembl:lncRNA